CUAUCAAGCCGAAUCUAAAACCCUAGAAUCACUUUGCCGAUCACGAUCAAAGUAAAUUCAAGCAUGCAAAGAGAUAAAAAAUUAUACUUUAACCAAUAUAAAAAAGUGAAAUAUUAGUGUUCUCCACAAGACCUCAAGACAGAAGUCCUCCAAUGGUGAUCCACCUAAAAGUUGACCAAAGUUCUUCUCAACUGGUGCACUGUCGCAGCCUUAUUUUCUCAAGAAUACUGUCGGCUUCGAACUUGCGUUACGAUCGCACCAAAGCCCAGUUGCUUUCGAUCUCAUCACCAAAAUAACAC
rnacentral:lncRNA from 1 species